UACGGAGGGUGCAAGCGUUGUCCGGAUUCAUUGGGUUUAAAGGGUGCGCAGGCGGGACAUUAAGUCAGGAAGGUGGAAUGACGGUUCACUCAACAUCGCAGUGCCUUUGAUACUGGUGUUCUUGGGUAACCUUGAGGUAGGCGGAAUGGGGGGUGUAGCGGUGAAAUGCAUAGAUACCCCCCCAGAACUCCGAUUGCGAAGGCAGCCUACUGGAGGUCAACCGACGCUCAGGCACGAAAGCGUGGGGGAUCAAACAGG
rnacentral:rRNA from 1 species